rnacentral:rRNA from 1 species
GACGAACGCUGGCGGCGUGCUUAACACAUGCAAGUCGAACGGAAGGGCCCUGCUUUUGUGGGGUGCUCGAGUGGCGAACGGGUGAGUAACACGUGAGUAACCUGCCCUUGACUUUGGGAUAACUUCAGGAAACUGGGGCUAAUACCGGAUAGGAGCUCCGGCUGCAUGGUGGGGGUUGGAAAGUUUCGGCGGUUGGGGAUGGACUCGCGGCUUAUCAGCUUGUUGGUGGGGUAGUGGCUUACCAAGGCUUUGACGGGUAGCCGGCCUGAGAGGGUGACCGGCCACAUUGGGACUGAGAUACGGCCCAGACUCAUACGGGAGGCAGCAGUGGGGAAUAUUGCACAAUGGGCGGAAGCCUGAUGCAGCAACGCCGCGUGCGGGAUGACGGCCUUCGGGUUGUAAACCGCUUUCGCCUGUGACGAAGCGUGAGUGACGGUAAUGGGUAAAGAAGCACCGGCUAACUACGUG